CCUACGGGAGGCAGCAGUGAGGAAUAUUGGUCAAUGGGCGCAAGCCUGAACCAGCCAUCCCGCGUGCAGGAAGACGGCCCUAUGGGUUGUAAACUGCUUUUCCAGGGAGAGAAACUUGCGCACGUGUUGCGCAAUUGACGGUACCCUGGGAAUAAGCAUCGGCUAACUCCGUGCCAGCAGCCGCGGUAAUACGGAGGAUCCGAGCGUUAUCCGGAUUUAUUGGGUUUAAAGGGUGCGUAGGCGGGAUAAUGAGUCAGUGGUGAAAGUUUGCAGCUUAACUGUAAAAUUGCCGUUGAAACUGUUAUUCUUGAGAGUAGAUAAGGUAGGCGGAAUGUGUUGUGUAGCGGUGAAAUGCAUAGAUAUAACACAGAACCCCGAUUGCGAAGGCAGCUUACCGGGCUACAUCUGACGCUCAUGCACGAAAGCGUGGGGAUCAAACAGGAUUAGAUACCCUGGUAGUCCACGCUGUAAACGAUGAUUACUGGGUGUCGGGUUCGAAGAGGAUUCGGUGCCGUAGCUAACGCGAUAAGUGAUUCGCCUGGGGAGUACGAUCGCAAGGUUGAAACUCAAAUGAAUUGACGGAGUC
rnacentral:rRNA from 1 species